UGGGGAAUCUUCCGCAAUGGACGAAAGUCUGACGGAGCAACGCCGCGUGAGUGAAGACGGCCUUCGGGUUGUAAAGCUCUGUGAUCCGGGACGAAAGAGCCUGAGGUAAAUAGCCUAAGGAAGUGACGGUACCGGAAAAGCAAGCCACGGCUAACUACGUGCCAGCAGCCGCGGUAAUACGUAGGUGGCAAGCGUUGUCCGGAAUUAUUGGGCGUAAAGCGCGCGCAGGCGGCUUCCUAAGUCCAUCUUAAAAGUGCGGGGCUUAACCCCGUGAUGGGAUGGAAACUGGGAAGCUGGAGUAUCGGAGAGGAAAGUGGAAUUCCUAGUGUAGCGGUGAAAUGCGUAGAGAUUAGGAAGAACACCGGUGGCGAAGGCGACUUUCUGGACGAAAACUGACGCUGAGGCGCGAAAGCUUGGGGAGCAAACAGG
rnacentral:rRNA from 1 species